AGUACCUGUAGCGCAAAGGAUAGCCCGUUGGACUUCUAAUCCAAAAGUUGUGGUUUUGAAUCACACCUGGACUG